UGGGGAAUAUUGGACAAUGGGGGGAACCCUGAUCCAGCCAUGCCGCGUGUGUGAAGAAGGCCUUUUGGUUGUAAAGCACUUUAAGCGGGGAGGAGGCUCUUCUAGUUAAUACCUAGGAUGAGUGGACGUUACCCGCAGAAUAAGCACCGGCUAACUCUGUGCCAGCAGCCGCGGUAAUACAGAGGGUGCGAGCGUUAAUCGGAUUUACUGGGCGUAAAGCGUACGUAGGCGGCUUUUUAAGUCGGAUGUGAAAUCCCUGAGCUUAACUUAGGAAUUGCAUUCGAUACUGGGAAGCUAGAGUAUGGGAGAGGAUGGUAGAAUUCCAGGUGUAGCGGUGAAAUGCGUAGAGAUCUGGAGGAAUACCGAUGGCGAAGGCAGCCAUCUGGCCUAAUACUGACGCUGAGGUACGAAAGCAUGGGGAGCAAACAGG
rnacentral:rRNA from 1 species